GCCGCAGUAGCUCAGUCGGUAGAGCACCUGAUUUGUAAUCAGGGGGUCGGCGGUUCGAUCCCGUCCUGCGGCACCA
rnacentral:tRNA from 1 species